rnacentral:misc_RNA from 1 species
CCGAGUUUACAGCUCCCAAACCCAUGUGAACAUACCUACUGUUGCUUCGGCGGGAUUGCCCCGGGCGCCUCGUGUGCCCCGGUUCAGGCGCCCGCCUAGGAAACUUAACUCUUGUUUUAUUUUGGAAUCUUCUGAGUAGUUUUUACAAAUAAAUAA